rnacentral:rRNA from 1 species
GAUGAACGCUGGCGGCGUGCCUAAUACAUGCAAGUCGAGCGAACAGACGAGGAGCUUGCUCCUCUGACGUUAGCGGCGGACGGGUGAGUAACACGUGGAUAACCUACCUAUAAGACUGGGAUAACUUCGGGAAACCGGAGCUAAUACCGGAUAAUAUAUUGAACCGCAUGGUUCAAUAGUGAAAGACGGUUUUGCUGUCACUUAUAGAUGGAUCCGCGCCGCAUUAGCUAGUUGGUAAGGUAACGGCUUACCAAGGCAACGAUGCGUAGCCGACCUGAGAGGGUGAUCGGCAACACUGGAACGUAGACCCGGUCCAGACUCCUACGGGAGGCAGCAGUAGGGAAUCUUCCGCAAUGGGCGAAAGCCUGACGGAUCAACGCCGCGUGAGUGAUGAAGGUCUUCGGAUCGUAAAACUCUGUUAUUAGGGAAGAACAAAUGUGUAAGUAACUAUGCACGUCUUGACGGUACCUAAUAAGAAAGCCACGGCUAACUACGUG